GGUGUUGUGUAGCUCCUCCUCCAGGGUCGACUUGCUGUGCUCUGUGUCCCGGGGUAGUGUAGGAAAACCAUCAGGUUGACUGACCUGGGGUAGUGUAGGAAAACCAACAGGUUGACUGACCUGGGGUAGUGUAGGAAAACCAUCAGGUUGACUGACCUGGGGUAGUGUAGGAAAACCAUCAGGUUGACUGACCUGGGGUAGUGUAGGAAAACCAGCAGGCUGACUGACCUGGGGUAGUGUAGGAAAACCAUCAGGUUGACUGACCUGGGGUAGUGUAGGAAAACCAUCAGGUUGACUGACCUGGGGUAGUGUAGGAAAACCAUCAGGUUGACUGAUCUGGGGUAGUGUAGGAAAACCAUCAGGUUGACUGAUCUGGGGUAGUGUAGGAAACCCAGCAGGCUGACUGAUCUGGGGUAGUGUAGGAAAACCAGCAGGCUGACUGACCUGAGGUAGUGUAGGAAAACCAGCAGGCUGACUGACCUGGGGUAGUGUAGGAAAACCAGCAGGCUGACUGACCUGAGGUAGUGUAGGAAAACAAACAGGUUGACUGAUCUGGGGUAGUGUAGGAAAACCAUCAGGUUGACUGAUCUGGGGUAGUGUAGGAAAACCAUCAGGUUGACUGAUAUGGGGUAGUGUAGGAAAACCAGCAGGUUGACUGAUCUGGGGUAGUGUAGGAAAACCAGCAGGUUGACUGACCUGGGGUAGUGUAGG